rnacentral:lncRNA from 1 species
CGCUCCUUUGCCUUCUGUAGUCUGUCUAUUAUCUGUUUAGGUAUUAUCUAUAGGUUUGACCUUUACUCCUCAAUUAUAAUCAUUUUGCUAUCAUUCUCCUGGAUUCUAGGCUGUUUGUUAUACGGUGCAUGUGGGCAGUAUCGUAUAGCUCAUAGUUUGCAUAUCCAUUCAUUCAUUACUUCUAUGUGUACGCACGUAGCCUAACCAUUUAAACAUAAUAUUUUUUUCUUUUAUAAAGGUAGAUAUGCCUUCAUUCGUA